rnacentral:tRNA from 1 species
GUCUCAGUAGCAUAAGUGGUUAAUACACAGCCCCGGUUAAGCGCGAGACGCGGGUUCGAAUCUCGCCUGAGAUA